UACGUAGGGUGCAAGCGUUAAUCGGAAUUACUGGGCGUAAAGCGUGCGCAGGCGGUUAUGCAAGACAGAUGUGAAAUCCCCGGGCUCAACCUGGGAACUGCAUUUGUGACUGCAUAGCUAGAGUACGGUAGAGGGGGAUGGAGUUCCGCGUGUAGCAGUGAAAUGCGUAGAUAUGCGGAGGAACACCGAUGGCGAAGGCAAUCCCCUGGACCUGUACUGACGCUCAUGCACGAAAGCGUGGGGAGCAAACAGG
rnacentral:rRNA from 1 species